CCUACGGGUGGCAGCAGUGGGGGAUAUUGGACAAUGGGGGGAACCCUGAUCCAGCGACGCCGCGUGAGUGAUGAAGUAUUUCGGUAUGUAAAGCUCUAUCAGCAGGGAAGAAAAGAAUGACGGUACCUGAAUAAGAAGCCCCGGCUAACCACGUGCCAGCAGCCGCGGUAAUACGUAGGGGGCAAGCGUUAUCCGGAUUUACUGGGUGUAAAGGGAGCGCAGACGGCAAUGCAAGCCUGGAGUGAAAGGCGGGGGCUCAACCCCCGGACUGCUCUGGGAACUGUAUAGCUAGAGUGCAGGAGAGGCAAGUGGAAUUCCUAGUGUAGCGGUGAAAUGCGUAGAUAUUAGGAGGAACACCAGUGGCGAAGGCGGCUUGCUGGACUGUAACUGACGUUGAGGCUCGAAAGCGUGGGGAGCAAACAGGAUUAGAUACCCUAGUAGUC
rnacentral:rRNA from 1 species